CGUCAGGCUCCUGUGUGGCAGGAAUAGUUCUGUGCAGCCACCUUGUUGCCACACUUUACAAGAUAAGAAGGAGUGUGCUACAUAGUUUGGCAUGCAUGAACACCCUGCAGAUAUGGCAUAGGCCUAGGACACAGAGAAUCAGUGCGUGCAGAGCCUACCCAGAAGCUGGUGGUGAAGAAGUUAAAGUCAUCAGCCAGGAGUGUAUGCAAAUCUACACUUUAUCAGCAUAUGUCUUUCAUCUGGAGAACCUAAAGGUGACCCAUGUGCUGUCAGCACUGACAUAGAAGGUGCACACGAACAGUCAGAAAAUGAAGUGAAAUACGUCAACUUGG
rnacentral:lncRNA from 1 species